AUACCAUUACAUUUCUGUUUGUUCGAUAUUAAAUUCAUUAUAUGUUUUUUAUUAAUCCAGAUCGGCUUCUAAAUGUUGUCUGAAUUGUAUUGGUCAUAUUACAUUCUUUUUGUUCAAAAUAGUGAUUAGCGCGUGAUUAAAAGUCACCUUAUGUUAGUCACCAUUAACAUAACGUGACAGAUCCUCGAUCAUUUUAUUAUAUUCAUAUUUUUGGAAUUAACUACCAAUGUUCUUCUACUGUGGUAUUUUGUGUUUAUAGUACACAAAUCAUACCUUGUUUCUACCGCAGUUAGUUUACUUCUACUGUGGUAGUACAGUAACAGCAAACCUUAUGCUUUUACCACAGUAGUUCAGCCUUUUUAUACAUAGUAAAAAACAGUAACAACAACAACACCAUGCUUUUAAUACAUUUGAUGUACAAUUCAGAAAUCUUUAGACAUUCAGAUCCUUCUUUUUUGGUCAGUUUUAAUCUAUUGCCGUUUUAUUUAUUUAUUUAUCUUAUAGUCUUAUGAUAGUGGGCGGGUCUUGGGGUUUGUUGUAAAUAGUUAUACACAUACAAUGUUUAGUAAAUAAAGAAUUUUGAAAUAUAUGUAUUGAAUGUGAUGCUGGAGAUUGUAUAAUUAUUUUUCACUUUUCCUCAGUAUAAAGUGUUUUAUCAUUCACAUUUUUGUGUUGAAAUAGAUUAGCCUAUCCCCUGUAUGUCAUCGAUGCGCUACUUCAAAGAUGUGAGGAAAAGAACAUACACCUGCGAGUAGUCUGUUACAUUGCCUGUGUUAUUGCCUCACAUUUGCAGGGGAGGGCAUAUCACACAACAUUGCCUUGGCCGUACCAGCAUUUCAUGUUUAUGGACACAAAUUGCCCUGCCAGAUCAAGUACAGUACCAGAUGGCUUGAUGGGUUUGGGCUCCCAGACGGGGAAGGAAUGGAAAGGCUGUGGUCUUUCCUCCAAAGAUUUGCCAGAGUCACAAAGGAGAUGACUCCAUCUCAUCGCCUUGACCUACUGACUGAUGCCCUUUUGCAUUAGGGAUGGAGGAAAUCAACUGACCUAGGUGCAGCUACUGCAAAGAGUAGACAAAGCAGAGAAAAUAUUGAUUCUUGCUCAGGAAGAUAUCUCAUGUCAUCAGAGAGGCACCAGGUAAACAAUAAACAUAAGAAGCAGUGUUGAUUUCUGAAGGAGACAUGGAGAGAUGGAAAAAAGCUAGCCCAACAGAAACCAAUAAACACUGUCUGUAGAUGGAAAAGGGACUACAUCAUCAGACUGAUUCAGUUCUACAAGUUCAAAAUUGAGGACUCUGCUGAACAUUGAGGAAAAAAUACCGUAUCGGGAGAAGAUGGCAAGAGUCUGAUUCAAACUUCCAGUCUACCCUUAAAGAUGUGGACCGUGAGCUCAGAGUCCAAAUGCAAGGCUAGAACUGAAUCAAGGGAGAGAGCAGUCGUCCUCCACCUGAGAAGAAUAUAUCCAGCUUUGCUUCAGAUGGGCAGAGCAUUGCCAUUAGACUCUCCAAGCAGGUAGCCAAUUGAUUUUCAGGAAUCAUGUGAUCCCUCUUGGCAUGUCUACUUCUGCUUUAAUGACACUAUUGAAGAAGAUGAUGUUUCGAGGAGUCUAAAAAGGCGAGGGAUUGAUGCCUUACAUAUGAAGACUCGGGCAGCUGAGAAAAAGUGCGUGCUUUACCAGGAAAUGAGAAGUCUAAGGGGCCAGUCACACCAAAAGCGUUUAUGGCAGUUGCAGGCACCUUUUUUAAAUGAUAUUCUAUGGGCAGGGCGCGUUUGCGUGCUGUUUAUGAGCGCCUUGCUGUUUUUUGCGGCCUGCCGCGCACGCAUUUUUGAAGGAGCGCUGAGAGCGGAGAAGCGCCCGACGUCAUUCGCGUCUUUCCAUUGUCCAAUCGAAUGAGGGGAGAGGCGGGCCUUACGUUGUGGUGAGUGAAGUUUACAGUUGCUUUGAAGAACCGGAAUCCACUCGCUCACUCUCUCCUGCGUGUUUGUGCACCUCUCACCCUCAAACAAGGUCAGAGCAAGCGCCCUCUUUUUAAAGUUUCUGCUAAUAUGACAGUUAACAGCAAAAGAGCGCUCACGCUUCAAUAUUUGAUUGACAAGACAGCUGACUCGGUGGUUGCUUAGCAAUAUGAAAAGCCGCGUCGCACUGCCCUUUUUUAAAAAAAGGCAGUGCGUCGCGCCUUGCGUUUGCAAGCGUUUAAAGCGCUUUUGGUGUGACUGGCCCCUAACUGAACACCCCAUCAGCAGCAGGCCUCUAACAUUUGUGCUCUAACAUCAAAGACACUGAGCAGCCUGGUGCAAAAGCUGCUCUCAUUCAACACCUCCAACACCUGGAAAGAAAACUACAUCAAGCCAUUGUGAUGUUUCACCCACAUCUAUCGGACAUUGUUCCUGCAGACAACCCCCACUUGUGUCAGGCCCUCCCCAUGCCAAGCAUACAGACACUGGUAUACAAUGAUAAGAGUGAUAAUGAUGAAAAUGUGGAUAAAUAUGAUAACUAGCACUACAGAUUUUUUGUUAAUUUUUAGUCUGAUAUUGUAUUCUGUAAAAAGAAAGAUGUAAAAUGUAUAGUAUAUGUUGCAGCAUAUCAUAGAAACCUUUAUGGUGGUGUAAUAUAAUGUUCGCCUUACUUGUGCAAACAUGAUGUUUUACUAGAUCUGAUUUAUUAUUAAACGUAGGUACUGUUUUUAAGCACACAUAUUCACACUAGUCUGUGUGAGGACAAAAUUGUGUGUUUACCAUUGUGAUGUUACUUAUUUACUGUAAUGUACAAAUGUGGUCAAUGUGUGUAAGGUGUUUUGUUUUUGAAUCCUUUUAAACAAAUACUGUAAAAGUUUGUAAAAAAUAAAAAGUUUUCCACAAUCAGUUAUAGUCAUGAUUUCAGCUAUUGUCACAGCAUACUUUAAAGGUGAAUGAAUAGUGAUGAACUUAAUAAAUGACUUAUACAAUGAUUUUACAGUCAUAAUCCACAAGACAGACUGCCACAUACAUGUUCUUACAUAACCAUUAUAUUGGCUUAAAAUUCUCCCGAACUAAGUUGAUGUGGAUUAAUACUUUUUUCUUCCCAUUAUAUUACCUUUAGUAUUAUAUAGUUCGUUGCUAUGGUGGUUGCUAUGAGGCUGCUAUCACUGAAACCACGUAGCUUGCAUGACGUGUUUUCUUUUUAAAUGACAUUUAACAUUUUCCUACAGAAAACAAAAUUUGAUAACUCAACAAUAUGAUAAUUUUCAACAAUUUCUCAUUCUCAAUUUUGAGAAAUUAGUUUUUUUGGUAGCAGAAGGUUACGGAAGUGCAUUGUGUUGAAGGCGGGGUUUGCGUGUUCUGCUGUUUCGGCGUUGUGGCUAGAAGGGAUACAGCAACAGCAAAAUCUCGCGGAUGAGCGCUGUUAUUAUCCUAAUCCUAUCCCCAAAACCUAACCCUAAACCAAACAUUUCACGCGAUUUAAGACAAGUUGCAUCACAUCUAGACAGAUCCGCUGUUUCCAUCCAAAUUCUACCCCAAACAUAACCCUAAAUUGCGUAGCUGUAUCCCAUCUAGCAAAAAAAACACUGUUUCUGCUAAAAUAUCUUAAAAAAACAACUUUUUUACAUUUUCUUAACGUAGAUCAUCUAGAUGCAGCAUAAUUAAUAGUUUGUCUGAACUAGGUGUUUAUAUAUUCAGUAGAUAUAUGUUUUUACAGCCCUACUUUGCAAACUAGAAAAACUACAAUUUUAGUGCUAAUUUGUAUCAAGCUGCAUUAGACACAUGUAGGGAAUUGUAGUUUUUUUAAAACAUUUGUGUUUUUCUUAUAAUUGGAGGUUGUAAAUAGUGAGUUGAGAGUAAGGUGUUUAGGGGGAUUGUUAACACACUUAUACAAUCAGAUUUUUAAAUAUUUAAUUGUUAAAUAGGUUUAAAUUAAUUUUAACCAUAUUUGACAGUGUCCCAAGUUGUUGACUAUAUUGACAUUAUAACUGAGGCCAAGAGCUCUCAUUAAGAGUUUGUCCCAUGUCUAUAGCCCCUUUUGUUGCCUUAUUAUAAGCCUUCAAAAAUGCACCAAAGUGAUGUUUCAAAGGUCCGUAUUUCAAAGCAGGAGCCAUGUAGAUUCUUUAUACUGACAUAUCUUAUUCUGCAGGUCAAGACCUUUCUAACGAUGUAUUAGGCUUAGCUCUACAACAAACUUUUCAUGUUCUCAUUUCAAGUACACAAGCCAUCUCAGGUGUAG